UACGUAGGUGGCAAGCGUUGUCCGGAUUUAUUGGGUUUAAAGGGUGCGUAGGCGGCCCUGUAAGUCAGUGCUGAAAUAUCCCAGCUUAACUGGGAGGGUGGCAUUGAUACUGCGGGGCUAGAGUACAGAUGAGGUAGGCGGAAUUGACGGUGUAGCGGUGAAAUGCGCAGAUAUCAGGAGGAACACCGAUGGCGAAGGCAGGUCUCUGGGCCACUACUGACGCUGAGAAGCGAAAGCAUGGGGAGCGAACAGG
rnacentral:rRNA from 1 species